UACGUAGGGUGCGAGCGUUAAUCGGAAUUACUGGGCGUAAAGCGUGCGUAGGCGGUUCCGUGUGUCGGGUGUGAAAGCCCCGGGCUCAACCUGGGAAUUGCAUUCGAAACUGCGGAUCUAGAGUGCGGAAGAGGGAAGCGGAAUUCCCGGUGUAGCGGUGAAAUUCGUAGAUAUCGGGAGGAACACCAGAGGCGAAGGCGGCUCACUGGGCCUUAACUGACGCUCAUGCACGAAAGCUAGGGUAGCGAACAGG
rnacentral:rRNA from 1 species